rnacentral:rRNA from 1 species
GCCUGCAGCCUUACCACCUCGAGGCUGUGAUCCUGGCAGACAUCAUAAGGUAAGCAGGGUUGGGCACACAUAGUAACUGGAUGGAAGACGUGAAUGCUACAGAAUGUAGAAUGUAUGUAGUUCCAUUGA